CUGGAACUGUUCAUCUGACCCUGUGAGCUGUAUGUAAUGGACACUUCUGCUGAGCUCCAAAGCUGCAAGGUAAAUAGAUGAGAAAGCCAGCGACUGACUGGCCACCCCUAUUGGAGCUUCUCCUUGAGUCUCUUUUCUUAGAUGUGUAUUCUUAAUCAUAUGGGGCCCAUUUUGGUCAUUUAAAGGAGUCGUUCACUGGUUCUCCUGAUGUCUUUGAAGACAGUCCUGGGAAUAACAAUAUUCCUUGACCAUCAGUCUGUUGCCUGCCCCUUCUCCUUAGAUGCAGCCGCUCUCUGUUCCCUGCCCCAAUGAACAUCAGCACUAGGCCCAAGCCUUGGAGUGAUUUACCUGAAGAGUGACACCAUUGAUUUGGAAACUACUGUGAGUAUAUUAUGCCUCCAAUAAAAGCCUCCUUAGUUUACUUUGCUUAAUU
rnacentral:lncRNA from 1 species